rnacentral:rRNA from 1 species
GCGAGCGUUGUCCGGAUUUACUGGGCGUAAAGGGCAUGCAGGCGGUCGGACGCGUUUCGGGUGACAGCGGGUGGCUUAACUACCCGAGUGGUCGAAAGACGGUUUGACUUGAGGACGCGAGAGGGACACGGAAUUCCGGGUGGAGUGGUGAAAUGCGUAGAGAUCCGGAGGAACACCGAAGGCGAAGGCAGUGUCCUGGCGCGUAACUGACGCUGAGGUGCGAAAGCCAGGGGAGCGAACGGG